rnacentral:rRNA from 1 species
GACGAACGCUGGCGGCGUGCUUAACACAUGCAAGUCGAACGGAAAGGCCCUGCUUUUGUGGGGUGCUCGAGUGGCGAACGGGUGAGUAACACGUGAGUAACCUGCCCUUGACUUUGGGAUAACUUCAGGAAACUGGGGCUAAUACCGGAUAGGAGCUCCUGCUGCAUGGUGGGGGUUGGAAAGUUUCGGCGGUUGGGGAUGGACUCGCGGCUUAUCAGCUGGUUGGUGGGGUAGUGGCUUACCAAGGCUUUGACGGGUAGCCGGCCUGAGAGGGUGACCGGCCACAUUGGGCCUGGGAUACGGCCCAGACUCCUACGGCAGGCAGCAGCGGGGACUAUUGCACAAUGCGCGGAAGCCUGAUGCAGCAACGCCGCGUGCGGGAUGACGGCCUUCGGGUUGUAACCCGCUUUCGCCUGUGACGACGCGUGAGUGACGGAAAUGGGUAAAGAAGCACCGGCUAACUACGU